UGUAUGUGCAGUAGGACUUGUUAGGUCGC
rnacentral:sRNA from 1 species